rnacentral:ncRNA from 2 species
GUCGGCGUUGUGACCGUGCAGCCGCACUCUGUUGGCCUGACCAGCGAAUUGCCGGGCCGCCUGGAGGCUACGCGUGUGGCACAGGUGCGCGCACGGGUCGCGGGCAUUGUGCUCAAGCGCACCUACGCAGAAGGCAGUGACGUGAAGGCCGGCCAGCAGUUGUUCCAGAUCGA